GGAAGGGUGCCCGAGUGGUUAAAGGGGACGGGCUGUAAACCCGUUGACUCACGUCUACGUAGGUUCGAAACCUACCCCUUCCACCA
rnacentral:tRNA from 1 species